rnacentral:rRNA from 1 species
UGGUAUCCUUGACUCUAAUUUGUAAAACCGAAGUAGUAACCAGUUAUUAUCUUGAAACUUAAAGGAUUUGGCGGUGUUUUAGUCUAGUUAGAGGAACCUGUUCUGUGAUCGAUAUGCCACGAAGUAUCUUACUUCACCUAGUAAUUUUAUAUUUAUCAGCUUGUAUACCGCCAUUAACAGGCAAUUUCAAUAGAGAUGUGUUGAAAUAAGAGGUAGAAAACUUAGAAAAUUAGGUCAAGGUGCAGCUAAUGGUGAAGGUUGAAAUGGGUUACAAUUUAACAAUGAAAAUUACGGAUUAAUACUUGAAAUAGGAUUAUGAAGGCGGAUUUAAAAGUAAGAUUUGUUUAAUAAGCAAGUCUGAUUAAAGCUCUAAAAUGCGUA